rnacentral:sRNA from 19 species
AAGAGAAAACGCUCAACGCGGGGUUUUCACCGCUUGUUAAUGGGAUAUUUUCGUUCAUCGCCCUGCCUUUUGUCUUCAGAAAAGUCAGACUUACCUUUCAUUAAAGGCUUAGGUUAAUGUUUUUGCUAUUUUUUUGACCCAUGAAUAAAGAUGAGACA